rnacentral:rRNA from 1 species
GAGAGGUAACGGCUCACCAAGGCAUCGACGGGUAGCUGGUCUGAGAGGAUGAUCAGCCACAUUGGGACUGAGACACGGCCCAGACUCCUACGGGAGGCAGCAGUGGGGAAUCUUGCACAAUGGGCGCAAGCCUGAUGCAGCAACGCCGCGUGCGGGAAGAAGGCCCUAGGGUUGUAAACCGCUUUCAGGAGGGAAGAAAAUGACGGUACCUCCAGAAGAAGGUGCGGCCAACUACGUGCCAGCAGCCGCGGUGACACGUAGGCACCAAGCGUUAUCCGGAUUUAUUGGGCGUAAAGAGCUCGUAGGCGGUUCAGUCAGUCGGGUGUGAAAACUUGAGGCUCAACCUCAAGAGGCCACCCGAUACUGCUGUGACUCGAGUGCGGUAGGGGAGCGGGGAAUUCCUGGUGUAGCGGUGAAAUGCGCAGAUAUCAGGAGGAACACCAGUGGCGAAGGCGCCGCUCUGGGCCGUAACUGACGCUGAGGAGCGAAAGCAUGGGUAGCAAACAGGAUUAGAUACCCUGGUAGUCCAUGCCGUAAACGUUGGGCACUAGGUGUGGGUCUCAACCAACGAGAUCCGCGCCGUCGCUAACGCAUUAAGUG